GACGAACGCUGGCGGCGCGCCUAACACAUGCAAGUCGAACGAGAGAUGAAGAGCUUGCUCUUCAAAUCGAGUGGCGAACGGGUGAGUAACGCGUGAGGAACCUGCCUCAAAGAGGGGGACAACAGUUGGAAACGACUGCUAAUACCGCAUAAGCCCACGGCUCGGCAUCGAGCAGAGGGAAAAGGAGUGAUCCGCUUUGAGAUGGCCUCGCGUCCGAUUAGCUAGUUGGUGAGGUAACGGCCCACCAAGGCGACGAUCGGUAGCCGGACUGAGAGGUUGAACGGCCACAUUGGGACUGAGACACGGUCCAGACUCCUACGGGAGGCAGCAGUGGGGGAAUCUUCCGCAAUGGGCGAAAGCCUGACGGAGCAACGCCGCGUGAGUGAUGACGGCCUUAGGAUCGUAAAGUUCUGUUGUUAGGGACGAAGGGCAAGGGUUAUAAUACAGCCUUUGUUUGACGGUACCUAACGAGGAAGCCACGGCUAACUACGUGCCAGCAGCCGACGG
rnacentral:rRNA from 1 species